GAAAGUCAGUUGGAGCCUGGCCAAGAGAUGAACUGAGAGACUUCCUUGACUUCUGACCAAGGGGGAGACUUCCCUGGUUUCUAACCAAGGGAGUGACUGGCUUUUUUCUGACCUAGGAUGAGACUUUGGUGUGGCUGAUGUUCAUGAUUGAUUGCUAUAUACUGGGCUGGUCUAUUAGCUAUCAGUAGUGAUCAAUAGGCACCCACUGAUACUAUCCCUGGUAGUAGUAUCUCCAUUACAACUAGGCACCCUCAGGUUUCCCCUAGUACCUCUCUAGUCAAGCCAGAGUAUCUCAGUUAUUUCAACCAGAAAUAUCUCCAAGAUUAUCUAUUCUAAUACAUCAAGAAUUCUCUUUCCUUCUGAAAAGAAGGCAAUAUUCAAAAAUCCUUUACACACCUCUGUUUUCUGCCACCUCUACUUCAGAAACAUCCCUGACAACACAGCAGAGAAAGACUACUUAUGCAGUCUUGGGAGAAAACGAAUUGAAGCACCAACUGACAACUGAUACUCAGAAGAAUGGAAAGAGUAUAUUCAUGGAAGAGAUGUUGAGAGAAAAGAGAAAAAUGGCAAGAAAAAGCAAAGUUGGACAAAAUUCUUCAAGGAUCAAGAUAUUACAUUUGCUUCAUAAACAGAUUGAAUGA
rnacentral:lncRNA from 1 species